AGCAGCCGCGGUAAUUCCAGCUCCAAUAGCGUAUAUUAAAGUUGCUGCAGUUAAAAAGCUCGUAGUUGAAUUUCGGGAUCAGUACGCUGGUCGUGCCUUGGUAUGUACUGGUGUUACUGGUUCCUACCUUCUGACGAACCGUCAUGUCAUUAAUUUGGUGUGGCGGGAAAUCAGGACUGUUACUUUGAAAAAAUUAGAGUGUUUAAAGCAGGCUCGCGCUUGAAUACAUUAGCAUGG
rnacentral:rRNA from 1 species